AUCGAACGCUGGCGGCAGGCCUAACACAUGCAAGUCGAACGAACUCUUCGGAGUUAGUGGCGGACGGGUGAGUAACACGUGGGAACGUGCCUUUUGGUUCGGAAUAACUCAGGGAAACUUGUGCUAAUACCGAAUGUGCCCUUCGGGGGAAAGAUUUAUCGCCAUUAGAGCGGCCCGCGUCUGAUUAGCUAGUUGGUGAGGUAACGGCUCACCAAGGCGACGAUCAGUAGCUGGUCUGAGAGGAUGACCAGCCACACUGGGACUGAGACACGGCCCAGACUCCUACGGGAGGCAGCAGUGGGGAAUCUUGCGCAAUGGGCGAAAGCCUGACGCAGCCAUGCCGCGUGAAUGAUGAAGGUCUUAGGAUUGUAAAAUUAUUUCACCGGGGACGAUAAUGACGGUACCCGGAGAAGAAGCCCCGGCUAACUUCGUG
rnacentral:rRNA from 1 species